AGGGCACCACCAGGAGUGGAGCCUGCGGCUUAAUUUGACUCAACACGGGAAAACUCACCCGGCCCGGACACUGGAAGGAUUGACAGAUUGAGAGCUCUUUCUUGAUUCAGUGGGUGGUGGUGCAUGGCCGUUCUUAGUUGGUGGAGUGAUUUGUCUGGUUAAUUCCGAUAACGAACGAGACUCUAGCCUACUAAAUAGAUAGUCGGCUUACAAACGUCGACUAGGCUUCUUAGAGGGACAGGCGGUGAUUCAACCGCACGAAACAGAGCAAUAACAGGUCUGUGAUGCCCUUAGAUGCCCGGGGCCGCACGCGCGCUACACUGAAGUGAUCAGCGUGCUUUUUCAGCCUACUCUGUCAAGAGUGGGAAACCCAAUGAACCUUCUUCGUGAUUGGGAUAGGGGAUUGUAAUUAUUCCCCUUGAACGAGGAAUUCCCAGUAAGCGCGAGUCAUAAGCUCGCGUUGAUUACGUCCCUGCCCCUUUGUACACACCGCCCGUCGCUACUACCGAUUGAAUGUUU
rnacentral:rRNA from 1 species